AAACUAACAAAUACAUAAAAUAAAGUAAAACAAGUCUUUCUAAUGAGGGAGGGGCUGCUCUGCUUAGCAUCAUACAGCCACUGUGUGCUUUAGGUAGCAGAAGGGACCAAGGGAGCACUAGGGUAGAUUUGACAUUGCUGUCCUCCCUCAGCCAGAUGAGAUGCUAAGCCACUUUUUUUUUUUCCAUUCUGUGGACAGUCGGGGAGGUCUUGGUGGUGUGGUUGGUUCACCUGGGAAAGGAAUCAGAGUUGCCCAUUAUUUUUCUCAGCAAAAAAAUACCCCUUGGGAAUCCUUUACCAUGUGGUUCUGCUUUUUAUUUCCUCCCCUGAGUUUAAAUCAGAAGAUGACACAAUUGCUGACCAUGUCCAAGAAUCACCCCAAAUCUGUUCUGAUGGUGUCUACAGCAGCAGCAGCUGCAAGGUUCUGCUCCUGUCUCUAGUGGCUCACUCCAAGAGGAGACUCCAUGACUCUUGCUCAUGCCAUUCCAGGGGCUCCACCACUGCCUUUGCAGAAGAUGAACUUCCUGCCUUCACCAGCCUUCUGAAGCCAGGUCCUGUUGAUGGCUCCUGCCUCCCCAUCACACCAUGACCUGAGUUCAUCCAGUCUGGGUGUAAGUGGGACUGAUGGCGCUCUGGUGUGGGUCCAGAUGGACCCCAAAUUUCCAUGUGUUGAACGCUUGGUCCCCAGGUUGGUGCUUUUGGGAGGUGAUGGAAAACAUUAUAAGGUAGAGUCUUCUGGUCAUUAGAGGCAUCCCCUGAAGAGGAUAUGGGGAACCCCUUCUCUUCGUCUUUUUUUUCCCUUCAUCUCAGUCAUGAGGAAAAUAAUCUUGCUUUACCAUAUGCUCUUGCUGUGAUGUACCACCAUAGGCCCCAAACAACCAAGCCAAUUGAUCAAAAACUAUACCUUUCAUCUUUAGUUAUGAGCUAAAAUAUUCCUUUCUUUUCAUAAGUUGCUUUAUCUCAGGUAUUUGUUAUAGUGACAGAAAUAUAGCCAUAAGGAAACAACUGGUUUCAGAAGGAAAAUAAUACACAACAGAAAAGGAGGAAGCUUUCUCAGUUAGAGGGUGGUGGCAGGUACCUGCUACCUUUAUUGUGUUCUUCGGAUAUUUCAUUUAAUUAAAAUACAUCUACUCCUCUAAGCCUAGACUUUUUAAAUGUACAAUUGGUCAUCCCUACUUGUGCAUCCAUGAUUCAACCAAUCACAGUUCCAAAAUAUUCAGAAAAAAAUUGCAUCUGUGUUAAAUAGAUAUGUUCCCUAAACAAUCCAGCAUAGCAACUAUUUACAUAGCCUUCACAUUACAUUUGGUAUUGUAAAUAAUCUAGAGGUGAUUUAAAGUGUAUGAGAGGAUGAGUAUGGUUUAUAGGCAAACAUCAUGUCCUUUGUAUGGAUUUGAGCAUUGUUUUAGUCAUCUUUUUCAUCAUUAUGACCUGACAUGAAUGACUUAGAGGAAGAAAAGUUUAUUUUGGUUCUUGGUUUCAGGGGUCUCAGUCCAUAGAUGGCUGACUCCAUAGUUCUGGGCCCGAGGCAAGGCAGACCAUCAUGACAGAGGAAAGCAGCUCAGGACAGGACAUCAGGAAGAAGAGAGCUCUGCUCACCAGGGACAAAAUAUAUAUCCCAAAGGCACAUCACCAGUGAUCUAUCUCCUCUAGCCACCCCUUCUGGCUUACCACCCAGUUAAUCCACUUAGAUGGAUUAAUCUACUGAUUAGGUCACAACUCUCAUAAUCUGAUCAUUUCACCUCUGAAGGUUCUUGCAUUGUCUCAUACAUGAGCUUGGGGGACACCACAUAUCUAAACCAUAAUAAGCAUAUUCUGAUUUGGGUAACUAUAGGGGGUCCUAGAACAGCUCCCUGUAGACACAUGGAGACAACUGUAGUUUCACUCACAAUACCAGACUUCCAUGGCUACCAAUGUGCUCCUUCAAGAAGGGACCUGUUCAUUGGGCAUGAUAAGGAUCUGAACUCUAACCUCGCUGGCUGAAGUCUAAUUCUUCCUGUUCUACCUCUUACUAUCUGUGUGUUACCCUCCACAGUGACUCAACUUUAUCUUCCAUUUCUUAAUAUGUAAGAUGAAGUUGAUGACCACAAGGGUUGCUAAGAUCUUCCAAGAAAUUAUGAGUUUGAAGAGUGUUCAAACUUGUAAGUACUCUAUAUAAAUGUUCCUUAUUGUGAUAUAUAGUACGAGACACUGGUAAAAAUAAACACAGAAGAUAGAGACGUGGCCUUGAUCAGAGGAAAUCUCAGGCAAGCAGGUGAGCAAGCAUUGUUUUUGAGAUGUGAACAGGGUGCUUUUGCAGCAUGGGGGGAAAAAAAGAAAAUCUUGACCACCAGCAGAGUGACCUCAGUCUGGUUUUAAGGACUUUGCCAGGCAGGGAGGAGGGGCAGAGCAUUCUGAUAUCUGGUGUGCCAAUAUCCAGAAACAUAAGAGAGCACAGCAAAACUCAGGAAGGUCAAGGAAUCACUGUGCCCAGUAAGGCUGCAUGGAAGGAGGGUCAGGAAGACUAGGGUCAGACAAGGUCCUGUGUGUUGGGCCAUUUGGCCAUUUGUGUUUUGUGAAAUUGGUUUUAUCUUUCGCAAAGUCACUGCAGAAAGACAGUAAGUGACUAUAUGAAAUGGAAGUUCUGAGAUGCAGAGGAAAGAUCCAGAAGUUCUAACAUUCAUUUAAUAAAUGUUCUAGACGAAGAGAGCAGAUAGAACAAAACAAAACAAAAGCAUGUAUAUAUAGAGAGACAAUAAACCUCAGCAGAAAAGGAAGGAUCUAGUGAGAUAAAGGCAAAGCUAACUACAUCCAGAAAAAUCCAAGCAAAAUUUGAGAGAACCAAGAGCAAAGAACAUAAAAUUACCUGGAAAAAUAUGAGACUGUUACUGAAAUUAGAUUUCUUGUUGGCAGAACUGAAUAAAAGAUGAUAAAAGAGCAACGUUUUCAAAACUUUCUAGGGCAAUGAUUCCAUUCCACAAUAUCCCAUACCCAAACUACCACUCAGAUUAGAAGGCAGAAAAUGAGAAAACAAAAAGAAAACAAACACUAAAAUCCUUAUGAUAAGCAAAUAAUGUCCCGAUAAUCCAUUCUGACAGAGAGAUUAACAGAUGAACUUCAGAAAAUGAAAAAUGAAUUUAGAGAAAUAAGGAUCCUCUAAAUUUAGGAUCAAGGAAUUGGCAGUAAACAAGGAUGCACAUAAAAUUUAUAUUUCAUGGGGCUGGGAUUGUAGCUCAGUGGAAGAGCACUUGCCUAGCCUGUAUGA
rnacentral:lncRNA from 1 species